rnacentral:rRNA from 1 species
UACGAAGGGGGCUAGCGUUGUUCGGAAUUACUGGGCGUAAAGCGCACGUAGGCGGAUCUUUAAGUCAGGGGUGAAAUCCUGGAGCUCAACUCCAGAACUGCCUUUGAUACUGGGGAUCUCGAGUCCGGAAGAGGUGAGUGGAACUCCGAGUGUAGAGGUGAAAUUCGUAGAUAUUCGGAAGAACACCAGUGGCGAAGGCGGCUCACUGGUCCGGUACUGACGCUGAGGUGCGAAAGCGUGGGGAGCAAACAGG